GACGAACGCUGGCGGCGUGCCUAACACAUGCAAGUCGAACGGAGCACUUCGGUGCUUAGUGGCGAACGGGUGAGUAACGCGUGAGGAACCUGCCUUUCAGUGGGGGACAACAGUUGGAAACGACUGCUAAUACCGCAUGAUAUAGCGAGGAGGCAUCUCUUUGCUAUCAAAGAUUUUAUCGCUGUAAGAUGGGCUCGCGUAUGAUUAGAUAGUUGGUGAGGUAACGGCUCACCAAGUCGACGAUCAUUAGCCGGACUGAGAGGUUGAACGGCCACAUUGGGACUGAGAUACGGCCCAGACUCCUACGGGAGGCAGCAGUGGGGAAUAUUGGGCAAUGGGGGGAAACCCUGACCCAGCAACGCCGCGUGAAGGAAG
rnacentral:rRNA from 1 species